rnacentral:rRNA from 1 species
GACGAACGCUGGCGGCGUGCCUAAUACAUGCAAGUCGAACGCAUUUUCUUUCACCGUAGCUUGCUACACCGAAAGAAAAUGAGUGGCGAACGGGUGAGUAACACGUGGGUAACCUGCCCAUCAGCGGGGGAUAACACUUGGAAACAGGUGCUAAUACCGCAUAAUUCCAUUUACCGCAUGGUAGAUGGGUGAAAGGCGCUUUUGCGUCACUGAUGGAUGGACCCGCGGUGCAUUAGCUAGUUGGUGGGGUAACGGCCUACCAAGGCUGCGAUGCAUAGCCGACCUGAGAGGGUGAACGGCCACACUGGGACUGAGACACGGCCCAGACUCCUACGGGAGGCAGCAGUAGGGAAUCUUCGGCAAUGGACGCAAGUCUGACCGAGCAACGCCGCGUGAGUGAAGAAGGUUUUCGGAUCGUAAAACUCUGUUGUUAGAGAAGAACAAGGAUGAGAGUGGAAAGUUCAUCCCUUGACGGUAUCUAACCAGAAAGCCACGGCUAACUACGU